rnacentral:rRNA from 1 species
GACGAACGCUGGCGGCGUGCUUAACACAUGCAAGUCGAACGGAAAGGCCCUGCUUUUGUGGGGUGCUCGAGUGGCGAACGGGUGAGUAACACGUGAGUAACCUGCCCUUGACUUUGGGAUAACUUCAGGAAACUGGGGCUAAUACCGGAUAGGAGCUCCUGCUGCAUGGUGGGGGUUGGAAAGUUUCGGCGGUUGGGGAUGGACUCGCGGCUUAUCAGCUUGUUGGUGGGGUAGUGGCUUACCAAGGCUUUGACGGGUAGCCGGCCUGAGAGGGUGACCGGCCACAUUGGGACUGAGAUACGGCCCAGACUCCUACGGGAGGAAGAAGUGGGGAAUAUUGAACAAUGGGCGGAAGCCUGAUGCAGCAACGCCGCGUGCGGGAUGACGGCCUUCGGGUGGUAAACCGCUUUCGCCUGUGACGAAGCGUGAGUGACGGUAAUGGGUAAAGAAGAACCGGCUAACUACGU